AGGGUUUUUCGAGUUCUUGAUUUUAUGCUUUUGGCAUAUAGAAAUCGAUUUUUUUUACUAAAAUGAGAGAAUCGUCACAGAAAGAAAUUGAAUUCUGGUUUUCCCAGGAAUGUAGGAUUCCAACAAAUUGAAUUCUGCAAUUGCAUUUACCGAAUUUAGAAAAAGAAAGGAAAGGAAAGGUGAAGAACUUCAAAUGAAGGAAUAUGGGUUGCAGUUCGCCUUCCCUUCUGAAGCGUCUCCGGUUUUAUCAAGAAUCGGCUUUUGUCCCUGCAUUCCAUUUCGUCACCGCUUCUCUGGCGGAUUUAAGAAAUUUUGUCCCACUACAACUGCUUUGGUUGCAAUACGGAGAAAUGGUCAUGGAGAAACUGCUUUGGUCGAAUCCAAGAGAAAUUUAAAGAUCAACGAAGCUUCCGGAAAGUCAAAGCCAGGGAUGAAGCAGCUCCUUGAUGAGUACAGUAAUGUUUUGGAUGACAGAGUAGAAGUCCCAGGUGAAUUAUAUAACAAUUUGAUUCGAGCGUAUUGUGGUGAAGGCGAUCUAGAUAAGUCCAUGUGGUUUUUUGCUAGCAUGGAGGCUGUGGGUAUGCGUCCUACUGCAACAUCUUACACUUGUUUGAUUGAUGCUCUUGGAAGCGUCGGUAGGACUCUAGAGGCUGAUGCAAUCUUCCAAGAGAUGAAAUUGUCUGGAUUUGAGCCAAGGGUCAGAUCUUAUAACAUUCUUUUAAGAGCCUUCUUGAGGAAAGGGCUGUUGCAGCUUGCCGACAGCUUGUUGAUGGAAAUGGGGGAGCGUGGGAUAGGAAGAAAUCAAGAGACUUACAUGCUCCUACUUGAUUCUUACUCCCAUGCAGGACGUUUGGAUGAUACAUGGUUGGUUCUUGGAGAGAUGAAAGCAAAGGGAAUUCGGUUGAACUCUACCAUCUAUAGCAAGGUUAUCGGCAUUUACAGGGAUAAUGGGAUGUGGAAGAAAGCUAUGAGCCUAGUGAGAGAGAUGCGGGAAAUGGGGGUUUCACCUGACAGGCGGAUCUACAACAGCAUAAUUGAUACAUUUGGAAAGUAUGGUCAGAUGGAUGAAGCGGUAGAAGUAUUUGAGACCAUGCAAAGCGAAGGUAUAAGGCCUGAUAUAGCAACAUGGAAUUCUUUGAUUCGUUGGCACUGUAAUGCUAGAGAGCUUGGCCAAGCACUCGAAUUUUUUACAAAGAUGCAAGAGGAAGGCUUAUACCCAGAUCCUAAGAUUUUUGUUACCAUCAUUAGUCGCUUGGGGGAGCAAGGGAAGUGGGAUGAGAUAAGGGAAAACUUUGAGAGUAUGAAAGAUAGGGGGCUUCGGAGAAGCGGGAUCCUUUAUGCGGUGCUCGUGGACAUCUAUGGGCAAUUUGGGAGAUUUCACGAUGCUGAGGAGUGUUUAGCCGCUUUAAAAUCUGAAGGUCUACAACCUUCAGCUAGCAUGUUUUGCGCAUUAGCAAAUGCUUAUGCCCAACAGGGAUUUUGCGAACAGACUGUUACUGUUCUUCGAUUAAUGGAAGCUGAAGGAAUUGAACCAAACCUUAUAAUGCUGAAUUUGUUGAUCAAUGCAUUCAGUAUUGCUGGAAGACAUUUGGAGGCAAUGGCAAUUUUUGAGCAUAUAAAGGAGAUUGGCAUUAGCCCUGAUGUGGUUACCUACAGUACACUCAUGAAGGCAUUUAUUAGAGCGAGGAAAUUUUACCAGGUUCCAAGAAUUUACAAGGAAAUGGAAUCUGCUGGAUGUACUCCUGACAGAAAAGCAAGGGAGAUGUUUCAAACUGCUUUGAUGAUCCUUGAACAGCAUGGCCACAGGCAUAAUUGCAAUUCAGAAGACUCCUAAUACCCCGAACUCAGUGCUUGUUUUCAAGAGAGGGAGAAACUUGUUAAAAGCCUCAAGGGAAGGAGUACAUCAGGAUCAGAAGUUCAAGGCAAUUUUCUUUUAGCUGGAUUUUUUAUCAUCUUAAUGGGGGAAAAGACAGUAAAAUUGCUAGAGAUUUCAAACGAAAAGUACCAGUGUACCAUACUCCACUUCAGUCUAAACAACUGUCACCAGACUGAGAAACAAAUGCUGGAAGCAAUGGGAGAAGCAUCAACUUCUAUUAAAGUACUUGCACAAAUGCCUCAGAUGGACAGAAGGGAACGAAAAAUGCUGAAUGUGCAGUAAUUGCUGGUGGCUAGUAGCAAAGAAGCAGAGAUGAUGGCUCUGUGCAAAGUGGGGAAAUUCCAACAGUCACCAACUUUUGAGAUAUCAACAAGUGCAAUCCAGAUGAGGAAUCUUGGAUGAUUUCUCAGGCAGAUGAUUAUCAGAUUUGAACAGUUAAUGAAGACCCAGAAAGUUUGCAGCUGAGAAUUGAUAGAUGGGCCAGUGUUUACAGUCAACAGCAUGCAUCCAAGAAGCUUGAAAAAAGGAAGAUGAAACCAAGCAGCGUUUUUUGUUCAAUGUGAAGCGGUAAUCUUCUAGGCUACAUUAGCUUCCAUACAUGAUAUUGUUUGGAAGGAACCUUAAUCAGGACCGAAAUAAGUGAAUAUACAAAACGGCAAUAUGGGGUGAAGAGAUCAGGGGCGCCGUUUGGGGGUAUUUUUCAUGGAAAAGUAUUAAUCUGACAUUAAUACUUUUAUUAAUCUGACAUUUCAACGGAAAUACCACCUUUUUUUUUUUCCUGCCC